rnacentral:rRNA from 1 species
GACAUAAUGCAACUAGCACAAUCUAAUAAUCACCACCACCACCACCACUAAACCCAGCUUUAAAGGUUCGUCCCCCCAGGGUUAGUCGGGAUCUAAGGUGAGGCCGAAGGGCGUAGCCGAUGACGAGCAGGUUCAAUAUUCCUGCACCACCGACAUUUAACCCGGAAUGACACAAGUGUAGAGAACAGCGGCCCGUUGAUUGCGGCCGUUUCGCAAGAUCCAGGGAAGUGGCAACACGUCCUGGAGUGUUUGACACAUUUGUCGAGAAAAGUUCCGGUGAAUACUAAGGUGCCCGUACCGUAAACCGACACAGGUGGGUGGGUAGAAUAUACCAAGGCGCGUGAGUUAAACUUCUUGAAGGAACUCGGCAAGUUAGCCCCGUAACUUCGGAAGAAGGGGCGCCGCGCAAGCGGCCUCAGUGAAAGGAGUCAACCGACUGUUUAACAAAAACACAGCUCUCUGCUAAGUCGUUAAGACGACGUAUAGGGAGUGACACGUGACCAAUGCGGAAAGAUUAAGGCGAGGGGUCAGCGCAAGCGAAGCUCCGAACUUAAGUCCCCGUGAAUGUCGGCCGUAACUAUAACGGUCCUAAGGUAGCGAAAUUCCUUGUCGGGUAAGUUCCGACCUGCACGAAUCGUGUAACGAGUUGACUGCUGUCUCCAAGGAGUGCUCAGCGAAGUUGUAGUGGCGGUGAAGAUGCCGCCUACCCGCAGCAGGACGGAAAGACCCCGUGCACCUUUACUGUAGGCUGUUACUGUGUUUUCGUUCGGGAUACUUAGCGUAAGUGGGAGACUAUGAAGCCUGGAUUUCGGUUCAGGCCGAGUCGACAAUGAAACACCACCUUUUCUUAAUGGAAACUCUAACUCUGAGCCGUGAAACCGGACAGAGGACAAUGGCAGCUGGUCAGUUUGACUGGGGCGGUUUCCUCCCAAAAAGUAACGGAGGAGUUCUAAGGUUCCCUCAGCUCGGUUGGUAAUCAAGCGUCGAGCAUAUUGGUAGAAGGGAGCUAACUGUGUGACACACACGUCGAACAGAUACGAAAGUAGGACAAAAUGAUCCGGUGGUAGAAUGUGGAAUUGCCAUCGCUCAACGGACAAAAGGUACGCCGGGGAUAACAGGCUUAUCAGGCCCAAGAGUUCAUAUCGACGGCCUGGUUUGGCACCUCGAUGUCGGCUCAUCGCAUCCUGGGGCUGGAGAGGGUCCCAAGGGUCCGGCUGUUCGCCGGUUAAAGCGGUACGCGAGCUGGGUUCAGAACGUCGUGAGACAGUUCGGUCCUUAUCCGCUGUGGGCGCAGGAAAUUUGAGGGGUUCACUCCUUAGUACGAGAGGACCGGGAGUGACGAACCGUUGGUGUUCCGGUUGUGUCGUCAGACGCAGCGCCGGGUAGCUAUGUUCGGAAAGGAUAAGCGCUGAAAGCAUCUAAGCGCCAAGCCUAUCCCAAGAUGAGAUUUCCCCAUCAAGACCGUGGUAGACCACCACGUUGAUAGGUCGCAAGUGUACGCACGGCAACGUGUUCAGCUAAGCGAUACUAAUUAUCUGAUCGGCUACAAU